GCAGCUGUCCGCCCUCGGCCGGCCAACGUGCCCCAUGAGAGAGGGGCGCGCCCAGCCCGAACUCCGCGCGGCGCCCUGCGCGGGCCCUGGAAAAGGAAGUGAGGCGGCCAAGCGGGCCAGGAAAUUGUUUUCCUGUUCUCCUGGCGCGCGUUAUCAUCCUCGCACACGGAGCCAGAAGACACAAAGGGGAGUUUGCUCUUUAACUCUCGGCCAACAGCCGCCGAUCAGAUUCUGUUUCAUUUUCCUCCCCUUCGUCUGCGCUCGCUAUGAUCCAGUUCCUUGGCGCAGGGAGCGGGGAGACGCCUUUGUUCGGCUGACAAAGACCGGAAAGCUCGCCAGCGGGGUCGUCGCAGGAAAACAAAAGGUUUUGCUGUAGUUCAUUCCAUGACAUUGCGACCCAAAUGCCGACCAGUGGAGGCUCAGGAACCUGCCCGGCUGUGGCCUGGAGCGUGGCUUUGGUGCCCAGCAGAUCUGGUCUGGAGCCCAGCCCUCCUGCUCACCAGCUGUGUGGCCUUGGACGGAAGCAGCGGUUUCUGAACUGGCCCACAGAGAAACGGGCCCGUUCCUGCACCUCCUUAGUGGACCCUCGAGGUGGCGCUGGUGAACGGGACAGCAUCUCUGUGAGUGAGAGGGGGACUCUACUUCCUGGGGUCAUAUGCCUCCUCC